rnacentral:siRNA from 1 species
GGUCCACAGACUACAGUUUAUGAA